rnacentral:tRNA from 1 species
CCAGUAGCUCAACUGGUAGAGCAGCUGACUCUUAAUCAGUUGGUUGAGGGUUCGAGUCCUUCCUGGCC